UAUAUAAUAAUAGGUUACUAUUGCAUAGAUGUUCAACUUCCAUUACACAUUCAAAAUCCAGAAAACACAACAAUAAAAAAAACAACAAACCAAAACAAACAAACUACUUAGUAGGCAUGAUUAAAUAUAAAAAAAACCAAGUUGAACAAUCUCUGCAGCAUCACUCAAUUCUCUCCGCUUUCAUCAUCAUCUGAAGAAGGUAAUCUGUUCAAAUCAAAUUUUCUUAUCCUUCUUCAUUUUCAUCAUCAGCCGCUUCAAGUGGUGCUGGUUCAUUUUCCUAUUCCCACUCUGCGAUGGUGGAAGUGGUGGUCCAAGUGCUGCUGCGGACCCCACUAGUUGGCUUCUCUCUUUUCCUCCACUGCCGCCGCCGGCAGAAGGCCCUUCCUCUACUACAAGGAAUUGUGAUUGUGUGUGGAAAAUGUGAAGCGAAUGUGAAGUAUUUAUGUUGAUGAAAAAUGGAGGAUUAAGUUUACGUUACACUAAAUUUAUAAAACGCAACCAUUUGCGAAACGAUGCAAACAUGCCGUAUUUGAUUUUGGUGGUGUCUUUUGGGGGGAAUUCAUAAAAUGCAACCAUUUGCGAAACGAUGCAAACAUGCAGUAUUUGAUUUUGGUGGUGUCUUUUGGGGGAAUUGAUAAAACGCAACCAUUUGCGAAACGAUGCAAACAUGCAGUAUUUGAUUUUGGUGGUGUCUUUUGGGGGGAAAGGUGGCUAUAUUCCAUGUAUACUAGAAAUCAAAUAUAUAAGAUAAUAUUAUUUGUCAGAGAAAUCAGAAAAUCAUUAUUCCUUUACGUUUUUAAAUUGGAAUAUUAAAAUUUUCAUUUGACUGAAAAAUAAAUAAAGGUAUCUUUGAAUUUAUGAAUUAAAUUUUAACACAACAACAUCAUCGAACGGUUAUACACUAUCUCUAUAAAUAUUGAACUCUGAAGUAGAAUUUGUAACACAAGAACAUCAUCAAACGGUUAUACACCAUGGGUGCUCUUGAUCACAUCUCCGACCUCUUUGACUGCUCUUACCGAAGAAGUUCCAAAUACAAGAAAAAGCGCAAACAAUUCCAGACGGUGGAGGUGAAAGUGAAGAUGGAUUGCGAAGGAUGUGAGAGAAAAGUGAAAAAAUCCAUGGAAGGGAUGAAAGGGGUGACACAAGUGUGUCGCAGCCUAAAAAAUAUAGUGUGCGAAGAAACAACCGGCGAAAAAGAAAAUGACAGAAGAGUCGCCACCGUGCGUUAUUUAUCCCAAAGGAGGGAAAGGAAACGCUCAAAGUAAACCUGGAGAAAGGAAAGGAAAAGACAAGGUCUCGCAACCAAAUCUUGGGUUCGGAAGUCGAUUAUGCGAAGGGAAGGUAUUAGCACCCCUGCGCAUCCGUAGUACUCUACGGGAUCCACUCUUGUUGUUCUUGUCUAAAGGGUGUGCGUAUAUCUAAUGUACUAUUUACUAAAAAGGAGGUCAAAAGAAAAUGACUCACACGGAUGUCGCAUCCACUGCAUACGUAUCUCAUAUGAAUAUGAGAAUUAGAGUCUUCGUAGCUCGGCUACCUAUGGGUGAAAGAGAAGUGUGCUCGCUAAGACAUCGCGUCUUAUGCCUACGUAUCUCAUCGGGAAUGAAAAUCAGAGCAAAACGUAGUUCAGCUAACUACGGGAAUAAGGGUCUCGAUUGCCACUAGGGCAAGAGAAAGGGAAGGUCUCGAUCGCAACGAGGGCGAGAGAAAAGAAUCGCGACAAGGGCGAAAGCAAACAAAGAUUAGUUGUUAGUCGUUAGUCAAAAAAGAAACUCGGAAAGACAUCGCAUCUUGUGCCUACGUAUCUCAUCUGAACAUGAGAAUCAGAGUUGCCGUAGUUCGGCUACCUAGGGAUUGCCAUCUGAACACGGACUUACAAAGGAGGACACCAGUUGUGUCAAAGGAAAGUGGGCAAUGUGUUCACGUCCUAGCAACAGGUGUCGCAGCUCGCUGAAUCGAGUCUUAGGCAGUUACCUCUUUGCAAUAGAACGAACUACAUGCCACAGGAUCGGAGACGCACGGAAGGUCUAAAAAAAAGGGGAAGCUCUGCCCUAUAGUUGUCAUGCAAUAUGGACCUAAGUGUUAGGAUUUACAAAUGGGAACAUCUACCUAAUGUUAGCAUGCAAAGAAUAAGGGAAUUCUACCUAUGUUAUCAUACAAAAGAAUAAGGGAAUUCUACCUAAUAAUGUUAGCAUGCAAAGAAUAAGGGAAUUCUACCUAUGUUAUCAUACAAAAGAAUAAGGGAAUUCUACCUAUGUUAUCAUACAAAAGAAUAAGGGAAUUCUACCUAUGUUAACAUACAAAAGAAUAUGGGAAUUCUACCUAAUGGGUGCUACCUAAACGGAACAAGAAUCGACGAAUGGAGCAAGGUGAGGGUAAGGGUAGAUGGCGAUGCAUGAAGCAAUCGACUUACAGGUGGUAGAUGGCGAUGCAUGAAGCAAUCGACUUACAAGAGAAAUGGUGAUGCAUGAAGCAAUCGACUUACAAGAGAAAUGGCGAUGCAUGAAGCAAUCGACUUACAAAAGGAUGGAUGAAUACAUGCUGGUUAUGUUAAGUUUGGAAAAUAAUUACUCGACGUUGGAUCGAGGUUUUGGUCUUGUUUUGAAAUGGUUAUCGGAUGUUUGUUUUAGUUCUUGUAUUAACAGAUGAAUAAAGAAUGAAAGAAUAAACAUUAUACACUUCAUGGGAGAGGGAUACAUUUGUUAUGAAUGGGGAUUGUUCAUGGUAAUCAAACAAUAAUAAUAUGUGCCUCAUACAACAUACAAGUAGGCAACAGUUUAAUCGAGUCAGAUAAAUAAACAAAUAUAUGGUCAAAUCAAAUAAUCAAAGAAUGAAAUGAAUGAGCAUUAGACAAUGCAUGAUAAGUGUAAACAUGUUAAUCAAUCAAACAAUAGAAGCAUGGAUGAAAGAAACAAGUAUAAAAAAUAUCAAAUGAAUCAGACAAGUGAAAUUAUGCACACAAAGGAUCAAUGAAUAAUUUAAUCGAGAAAUGAUGCAAAGAUCAAAUAAAAUCAAGAUUAAAGGCCUCUAAUAUGUGGCAUGUGAGAUGAACAAGGGAGAAUCAAAAGAUCUCUUCAAUUGCUCUAAGCAAUCCCUAUGUCAAACAUCAAUCAUAAAAAAGUCAACUGUAAAGUCAAGUCAACUUAAAAAUUAUCAAAUAAAUAGUAAAUUAAUUCAAUAAAUUAUGAAAAAAUAAAUUAAAUGAGGCAGGGUCAGGACAUCAUCAUCCCCCAAAAAGAUUUCAAAAAUAAUGAAAAUUGGUUAUUGAAUUAAUUGAAUCAAAACAGAAGUCAAAUGAAAAGUCAACCAAGCAAACUAGGUCAAAAAUAAAUUCAAAAUAAAUUUAAAAUGGAAAAUAAAAUUCCAAGAAAAGGUCAGGUUGACCAUGAGACAUUGGUCAACCUUCAUCUCAAAAAUCAGAAGUUAAAAAUAAUUCUAAGUCAUGAAAAUAAAAUAAAUGCAAAAAAGUAUGCUUAAAAGAACAACUUGAAAUGAAUAAUUAAAAUAAAAUAUUAACAUUAAAUAAAAUAUGAAAAUAAAAAUUAAAUAAAUUAAAUAAAACAUUAAAGAAUGUAAAAAAUAUUUUUUGGUAUUUUUAUGAAUAAAUAAAAAUAUUUUAUUAAUUUAAAAUGAAAACAGAAAAAUAAAAUAAAUUGAAAAAAAUAAAAUGAAAAUGAAAUAAUGAAAUAUGAUGGGCCAUGAGUGCAUGGGGUGUGGAUAGCGUCUGAGCGCAUGAGAGGCCCGGCCCAAACGGUUAUUGCAGCGUGACCAAAAAAUAAAUGUUCAGCUUAAUGAAGUCUAUGUAGCACGUUGAAUCAAUUGGCCAUGUGAAGUAAGUCACAAAAGACAAAACAGUGGAAUGGACGAACAUGAUCAAACACACACGCGCGAUCCAAGGGACCACCGAGUGACACAUGUUAUUUCUUCAUGCAGCAUGCAAAGAAAACGUAAAAGCCAUGCAUUAAUGCUGAAAAAACGUGAAAAAACGCAGCAAUUUCUUCCAACCUUCCAACUAACAUAUCUCCCUCUAUAGUGCUCCAAAUGGGAUGAUGUAAAAAUCAAAGUUCAAGUUUGAAACAUGUAGAACACAAUGGUGUCUUGUUUUAUUAAAAAUAAUGGCUCUAGAAUAGAGAAAAGCGAACAACAAGGUAGGCUCAUGCAAGGAUACGACAAAAAUUCAAAGUUACAAAAUUUAAGUUUAAUGAACAUGCUUCAAUGAAGGGUCCAUAAGACAAACAUAACAUAAUAUUAACAACAAAAAUUAGCAUGAAACAAGCAUGGCAUAGUGGGAAAAUACAUGAAGUAUGGAUGGAUAUCAUGAAAUGAACAUGGAAAGUAUGAUGAACAAGCAAAGUAUUCAUGGCCAUGGAAGGUUGGAAUAAAGAGAUUACCUAGUGGAGAAAGUCCACUGCUUCUUGUUGGGAUGAGAGGAAAGAGAAGGAAGAUACUUCAAUGAUGUUGCAAACUUGAAGAAUGGAAAAUGGAAGUGAGAAACAACCUUGCCCUUGCCUUGCUCUUGCUUAGGUCGAAAAUGUAGCAGCCUCCAUUCUGAUUAGGGUUUUAGGAGUUUAUAUAUGUAGGGUUUUAAGUGUUUGAAUGGGCUUAAGUGUGUGGUUUUGGUUCAUGAGCAAAAUGCCACAAAAGGUGAGGUGUGAAAUGAAACUCUAAAUGUGGCAAAGCUUAAGUGAGUGAACAUAAAAGGUACAUGGCCAAAUGAGGAAAACAUGUGUUGGUUGGUUUGUGCAACAUGGCAUGAUUUUUUUUGGAAAUAAGUUCAAGAGGGUGACUUUAUGACCUUGUAACUUGAUGAGAACAUGUCCAAAUGGCAAGGCAAUGCAAACAGUAGAAAGAGGGCAUGGAACUUAACAUUUUUCAUGUUGAACACAUCUUGAAAAGUUCAAGAGGGUGACUUUAUGACCUUGUAACUUGAUGAGAACAUGUCCAAAUGGCAAGGCAAUGCAAACAGUAGAAAGAGGGCAUGGAACUUAACAUUUUUCAUGUUGAACACAUCUUGAAAUGGCGAGUGGAAAGAGGUGAAAAAUGGUCAUAAAGUUCAGGUCUCAUGGCUGCAAAAUGGUUGGGCCAGUUUGGCCUAAAUGCUGUCAAAAAAUUCAGCCUAUGAUACCAACUUUAGAUGAGUGUAUCUUCCAAACCAAUGAUCCAAAUGGGAUGAUUCCAAAGGGAUGUGAAAAAGGACAUAACAAGGUACAACUGUCAUGAAGAAAGUAUUUUCAAAAGAUGUCUUAAAGUGCAAGAAAACUGGCCCAUAAGUCUUGACAAAUUUUGCAAAUUUUGGACUUAGAAAAUUUUCUAAGUGUCCUAAAAUAAUGUCUUACUUUGACCAAGCAUAACUUUCUUAAUUUUAAUCCAAAUGAAACAAACUUUAUAUCUCUUGAAAGCUUGGAACAAAAGGAACAACUUUCAUGUUGGAGAAAUUUUCAAAUGGAGCUUGCAUCUUGAUGGAAAAUUGGCUUAAACUGGGUGCAAAAACCAUAAAAACUUGCCUUAAAUGGAAAGUCAACUAUUUCCAAAUUUAGUAACUUUUCUAAAUCCUGAUUAAGCGAUGAAUCCAUGAUCCAACCUUGAUCAAAUUUCACCUGUAGGCUCCCUUAGGCAUGAAUUUUAAAAUUCCACUUUCAAAAUGUUAGGAGUUGACUUUUCUGACCCCACAGUUGACUUUUCCCAAACUGUUUGAUUCCCGAUUCCAUUGAUCAAUUGAAGUACCUCUAGCUCAAAUAAAGAGCUGAUUUUUUACAUGAAGACCCUUGUGGACAUAUGGAGGGCCAUGGAAAUGAGUUUCACCCAAGGAAUCAGAAAUAAACCGAUUUUAUACCAAAACCUAGUUUUUGGGCAAAGAUGACUAGGAACUGAUUGCACUGAUUGCCAAUGGAUCUUUGUGAGAUAAUUGUGAAUCUUCCUAGGCCAAGAUGCCUCUAUAAUCAUGACAUGAAUGAGCCCCUUCACUUCCAACCAAACCUUUCCUGUUGCAGAUAGCCGUGAAACCCUGAUUUCUGGUUAACUCCAGAUGCACACUCUGAGAGCUUUGAAUCUUCCAUUGAUGAAACUGAGGACCAUAAUAAGACAUAUGGACCUCCUUAAGACCCUUGAGACUUUUAUAUUUGGAGAAUGAAGUUCAAUUCUCAGUCUUGCCUUGUGUGGGCUCCUUCUGGUUAAGGAGUGGUCAAUCAAACCCUGAUUUCUAAGUCACUAAUGCAGUAUGCAAUGAGUAUGACCUAGUAUGAUGCUAAUGCAAUCCCAUGCUUUCCAUGAAAAAGUGAAGGGUAAAUUUUGGGGUAUUACAAAGUGCAAGUUGAACGGAAAGCAAACAAGGUAAAUGUUACGGGUUACGUGGAGCCUUCCAAGGUGGUGAAAUGAAUCGUGUAUCGAACGGGGAAAACGGCUGAGUUAUGGCCUUACGUUCCAUACGACGUGGUUGCACACCCUUAUGCUCCUGGUGUUUACUACAAAAAAGCACCUUCCGGUUAUGUUAGAAACGCUUAUGAUCCUAACGUUUCUAGCCUCGCACGUGCUAGUUCUGCGGAAGUUAGGUAUACUACUACUUUCAGCGAUGAUAACCCCGCCGCAUUCGCCGUCAUGUGAUUCCUCGGUGACGCCGCAACUAUCGAUAGUAUAUAACAUAGUCUGUCUGUUUUUUUCGUCUUCUUUAAUUUGCUUUUAGUUUAGUUUGCCUUUUCUAUUAUUGUACUGUACAUUCGCGAAGAAAACAAAAAAAAAGGAUUGGAGAUGGGAAGAAGUACCGUGGUGUUAUGCGGUUCAGCGUUCAUGGUCGGAGUAGGAACUGAGAGAAUUGGUGUAAGGUGAACAGUUACAAUGGUUGUGUGAUUUUAUAUUGAACCGAAGCAAGUAAUCUAUGGUUUGUUGGUGGAAGGAAAUAAGUAUUAUGGAAGGUUGUGCUGAGAGUCUUAGAAGAUGAGAAAAGGUGUUGGGAGGUGAAACUUCAUGAAGAAAAGAAGAACAUCAAAACUUAUUCAUAACGGUGGUGAGAUGAUAUUUUACAUGAAGCAGAAUUUUGUUAUGGUGUUGGUAUAAUAUGUACAUGAAUAAUGGUGGGAUGAAAAGAGAUAAAAGGUUUUUUCGUGUGCAGUAAUGAAUUAGAAAAGGGUUAGUGAGGUAACGUUGAGGAGGGGAGUAUUUGUCUGAGUAAAAAAAAUUGAAUGUGAAGAUGAUGAUGGAUGUGAAACCAGAGGGAGGACGAGGCUGAGAACCUAAAAAACAAACUUUUUUUUUGUUUUUUUGCAAUCUUUUGAAAUGAAUGAGAGAGGAUCAAAGUGAGUUGAGAGGCGCGGCGCUAUCGGUCCCCCUUCUUGUUCAUGCAUUGGCCCCUUAUAUAGGAUGACAACUAGGGUUUUUAUAAAUAAUAAAAGUCUAAAGUCCCCUUUGAAUAUUUGUUUAAGAGACUAAAAUAAAUAAAACUAAAUGAACUAAAAUAAAAAUAAAAACACAGAAAAAAACAUAACUAAUCCUAUUUAAAUAUUUUGAACAUUUUAUCGUAAAAAUAAAAAUUGAAAGACUCAAAAUGAAUAAAAGUCACACGCAAAAUUGCUCAAAAAAUUAAAUUGAAUGUAUCAAAAUCAUCAACACAAAAUAAACUUCCCGAAAACAUACCGGUUUUGAUCAAAUUUUGAAAUAAAAGUGAUCGGCUAAAAGGCUCAAGCUGAUUACAAUGCGAUAGAAAAAGUAGUAAAUGAAUGUAUCAAAAUCAUCAACACAAAAUAAACUUCCCGAAAACAUACCGGUUUUGAUCAAAUUUUGAAAUAAAAGUGAUCGGCUAAAAGGCUCAAGCUGAUUACAAUGCGAUAGAAAAAGUAGUAAAAAAAAAUGAGCACGUCAGGUUAAACUACGCGAACAGUAGAUUAAUAGAAUUUAUGUAUUCAUGUUCAAUUUUGAAAUAUUCGUCAAUUUAUUUCACGUGCAUUUGAGAAUUAGUUUGAUCGAUCUGUCUGUAAAUCUGAAAGUUUAAUCUAAUUGUCAUUUUGGGCACUAUUAGGGAUGAAAUGCAUGUUAUGCUAUGUGGAUGAUACGAAUGUCACGACGUAUGUAUCGAUUCAAUGAUUCAGGGUCAAAAUUGGGGUAUGACACAUUGAGGUUGCUGUUUAACAAGACAAUAAUUGUGCAAUUAUAAAAAGUAACGAUAGAGGGAGGGGUUUGAGUUUGAAUGCGAUAAAAUAAAAGUUGUUCUGAAUUAAUAAGAAAGCAAUCAGAUUUUGUAUAGGAUCCCUUAUUUCUCCCCCGUUGAUGUCUAAUGCAUUACAUGAAAGUUUGAAUGCGAUAAAAUAAAAGUUGUUCUGAAUUAAUAAGAAAGCAAUCAGAUUUUGUAUAGGAUCCCUUAUUUCUCCCCCGUUGAUGUCUAAUGCAUUACAUGAAUGAGAAUUUUAUUAUAUUUUUACGACGAAUUAACCCAACCACUAUACUCAAUUCCUUGGUGUAUAACUCACUAAUUACCACUCGGUGUCUUUUUUCCCUAUUCAACCAUCGUAAGUGAAAUUAAGCGAUGCACAAAACGUUAACUCAACUGCCACUACUCGGGGCCUCCUAUCCCCAUUCAACCAGCAUAAUCAUAUCAAUUUCCCUAGUUCCAACAUAUAUACUAAUAGUCAGUUUUCCCUAUGUGCCCAAGAUCAUAUUAAAAGAGUAUCUCAUAUAAAAAGCAUUAAUCAAAAUAAGCAAUCAAAUACAUAUUAUCGCUCAUCUGCACUUAGCCAACCAACAAACAAAUGACCUUAUAAUAUAUCAAGUAAAUUGUGGUUGUGAGGUCCAUAUUUUACUUCAAUCUUCCAUCCAGAACCAUCUUUCGAAGGUGUUGACUUGAUUUUGAAUGAACAACCAUAUUUCUUAGUAGUACUUUGUGUUGUAUUAUCCACUUCCUUGUAUUUUCCAUCUUUAUCACAACUAAAUAUUACUUUAUGACUUCUCUUUCUCUUACUUGUUUGAGUAUCUGAACGAGUUAUGGUAACAAUCAUUUUAUGUUUGAUUCCAACCUCCUUAAUGCAUCUUGUCACCUCUUUUUGUGUAUAAAAUUUAUGUGAAUUUGAGAAUGCAUCCGUAGUAUCUACACAUAUUUGAUUUUUUUAAUCAAAUAUCAUAAAAGAGAUCUCCAUAUUUGUGAAACAUAAAAAAAAGUUGAAAAAUGUAUAUGAGAUUACUUAGAGUCAAGUUAUUUGAUGCAUAAAAUGACAUGUACCAAAAAAUUAUAUCCAAGUGUAAACAAGAAAUUCCAAAAGAGGAAAUUCGAAAGAUAAACCAGCUGAAAUUUCUGCAGACCUAAGACAAAGUUAAGAUGCCUUUCGAUCAAACAUUUUGGAAGAAAAAGCAACAACAUUCGACAUUGAGAAGUCCGGUAUCAGACUUGACACAUGGAGACCAGUUGAAGGCUAGUCAGGCAUGCAAAUAUGACAUGGAGACCAAUUGAAGGCUAGUCAAAUUUUAAAUUGAAGUAAUUGUCUUUUGCCUACCACUUUUACAUUUAUACGAAUAAAUCCUGUUUCUAUUUAAGUUAUUCUUUACUUAUUUUCUUUACCAUCCAAGUAUUUAGUUUCGACCCAGUCGAAAUCAUUUAGUUCAUUUACUUUCAAAACUUGAUUGCUUUACUAAGAUAAUCAACAUUCAUUACAAACAACCCGACAACAUUAAAUUCUCUUUUUCCAUAAAAUUAGCACAAACUAGCCCUAUAAUUUACUAGUUUGAUCCUUCAAACAAAAAAUUUAAAACUAAGUAAUUGUUUAUCAGGAACACGAAUAAACCCCAAAUUAUUUAGUAUAGGUUAUACCAUUGAAUAAAUAUGUUAUAUGUUAUUCGGUAAACAAAACAUUAAAUCGGAAAACAUGAUAUAAACUUAUCCCAUAAAAGAAAGAUACUUACCUAAUAUCUUUUCUAAAAUUUAUCCCGGAAACUAGUGUAGGAUUCAAAUUCAUCAUUUUUGAAAAACUAAAAUAAAAUGGUAAAGUAGUUGAUAUGUUAAAAAAAAAAGAUAAAAUGAGAAUAUUUUAAAAGUUGUAGGGGGAGGAAUAAAUUUAAGUGUAUGGGAUAAUUUUUUUAAAAUAUGUCUGUAUCCAAAUUUAUUCACAUUUUUCUCUCGUAGUCCAAUAAAUGUAAUAUAUUCCGUGAACAAAUCUAUGUCUAAUGGAUAGUUUUUUUACCACCGUAUGCAACAUUUUCAAUAAAAUAUCCAAACUAACCAAUUUUUUAACUAAAAUUUUAAUAUACUUCACUUAAAAAAAAGGACGUACUAAAGCAAUUGUCGCUUGUUCCUAAUUUCAAUACGGCGAGGCAAUUGUAGGAAGUGACAUAUUUUUAUAACACAUAUUUUAAUUUUCUGCAGAAAUAUAUUCUUACAGAAGGAAAAUUAUUACUAAGAAAACAUCUGCAAAUUUUAAUGAAAUCCAUAUUUUUCAAAAUAUAUAUUUGGAAUUUUUGCAGGAAAUGUCGUAGAAAAUAAUUUCGCAGAAAACUAAAGUAUCCACAUUAACAAGUUGCAAUCAAAUAACAUUACAUGAUUUUGAGUGUACACCAAUGUAACUAAGAAUCACAAUAGCAGAAAAAAAUGCAUUCAAUCAUUAGAAAAUUGUACUAAGUAGACAGGAUCUACAAUUUCCAUUAUAUUUACAAUAACAGGGACAUUGUGUUAUUGUUAGAGGGUGAGAUGAUGAAACUAAAACUUAAGCAGCUUAAUAAAUCACAUGACAUCUAAAUUAAUUAAAGACAGUGCUACUAAUUCAAUCCAUGUUAUCUCAAAGCACUACCAAAGGAAAUUAAAGUGAACAAAAAAAAUUAUGUAUGAUACUUAUUCCCAACCAAUCAACAUAAUACCGAAGGGUUAUCUAAACCUAACUUAUAAUUCAUCUUAAACAAGUUCAUAAGAGGUUCCUGUUAUCAAAACAAAUUAAAUCCAAAAAAGGGUUCCCAUGUAAUUCAUCUUAAACAAGUUCAUAAGAGGUUCCUGUUAUCAAAACAAAUUAAAUCCAAAAAAGGGUUCCCAUGUAACUUAUAAUUCCUUGACAUUAAACAACAAUAUAAUUAGGUUUUUUUAAUUCAAAUCCUAGUAACUAAUACCUACACAUUAAUAUCAAAAUCUAUAGAAACUAAUACUAUUGAGUGUAUUUAAUACAAUUGUAUGUUUUAUCUGUACUUAAUUUAAUCGACCGGUUCAAACAGGUUGAACUUGUUGCAAUGUAGAGCAUGAUAUGUUUUAAAACCAAUUUAGAUCCAAAGACAAAAAAAAAUUACACCAGAAAAUAGAAACCAUAGUUUAAACCUCAAACUCAUACAGUAAGACUCACUGAAAACAACACCUACCUUAUAAAAUGAGUUAAAAACCUGAAGCAUCAACAAUUGUAAAAUAAAAUUUAGUAGUAUGUUGUCAACAAGUGAUCAUAUUUGCAGGAUAUAUCUAACUAUAUCCUUUUCCUGGUUAGUCUUAUGGGUGAAUCAAAUUCAAGUUUUAUAAUUAACUCUAACCAAAAAAUGACAAUGAAAUCCUAAUGAAUAUUUGGCCUACUCAUAUCAACGCUAAUUGUUAAAACAAAAACUAUUAUAUAAACUACGAAAAUAAUUGCUACUAGUACCAUUGUUCUUGUAUCCUUUCAUAGCUUCACCUUCGUUUGAAUUAAGUGCAGAGAUACUGCAUGAACAUCAUUAAACGUGUUCAAUUCAGAUUCACCAGUUCUUGAAAUCCUUUCAUAGCUUCAUCUUUCAACUAGUGUUGCUAACAGUGAAUUGCCAAAAUAUCAGUUUGAUCAAAUCUUACUACUACACAACGGUGAUACAGUGCUGAUAUAGCCACUACUUGAAAACAUAGUGUAAUACAUAGUGUUCCAUAUUUCAAAUUUUGUUUGUAAAUUAAGCAUAAUUAAGAAACAUUGAACGAUAAAUCUGAUCCACUUAACCAUUUCAAAGAUUCUAUUACCGCAUAUAAACCUCAUCAUCAAUUGCCCUAAAUCUGUAAACUGCAUGCAACUGUAUCCAAUACAUAUCAUAUCUUCAUAUAGCCAAAAAUGGAUAACUUAUAAUAUACUUUCUUAUUUUAAAACUAACAAAAUAAAUACUAAUUUACAGUAAUGCUCCAACAUAGAUAAAUAUAUAAUAAUAGGUUACUAUUGCGUAGAUGUUCAACUUCCAUUACACAUUCAAAAUCCAGAAAACACAACAAUCAAAAAAGCAACAAACCAAAACAAACAAACUACUUAGUAGGCAUGAUUAAAUAUAAAAAAAACCAAGUUGAACAAUCUCUGCAGCAUCACUCAAUUCUCUCAGCUUUCAUCAUCAUCUGAAGAAGGUAACCUGUUCAAAUCAAAUUUUCUUAUCCCUUCUUCAUUUUCAUCAUCAGCCGCUUCAAGUGGUGCUGGUUCAUUUCUCC
rnacentral:lncRNA from 1 species